GAGUUUUGGUUUCUCUUUCUCUCUCCCGAAGGAUGAGUUCGACGAUUGAGUCCAUUCCAUCUCUUCCUUGGUUGAUCUCUCCUCGAUACGGUUGCUGGAAGGUCUGUCGGAAGCUCCGAGGGUGAGGAUCGGCAAGAUUCUUCUAAGUUUGGUUUGGAAUCCGUGAUCCGCCCCGUCGAUUCGAUGUCUGAUACGGCUAAGAAAUCUGCUAACAAAGAGUUGUCUGGUUGGAUGGUAUCUGGAGAGAGAAGAUGAAUAUGUCUACGAGGUUCAUCGUUCUGAUCACCAUGUCACCAGUGAUGAGCUUUGGAACAGCCACGACGGAAGAAGAUGGAGCACUUGUUGCUUAGUUGUUUGGCUCUGUGGGGAAGAUGUUCAAAGCUGAUGAGAAAUUUUUUGAUGCUGUCACUGGUCUCAGUGGAAGUGGACCAGCGUACAUAUUCCUAGCCAUUGAAGCUUUAGCUGAUGGAGGAGUAGCUGCUGGUUUACCCGAAGAACUCGCACUCGGUUUAGCUUCACAGAUGGUGCAGAUUAUCCUGUCUAUCACACAGCUUUUGAAUCCUAUGAUUGGAUGAUUCACAAUGCAGAUCCGUUGUUUCAUCGUCAUGUUGCCAGUAACCCUUUGUUUUCUUCGUUCUUGUUCUAGUUUUCUCAUGGAUCCCCUUGUUUCAUCUCAUAUAUUCAUAUCUUGGUGAUUGAUUUUACAGAAGUUAAAAGAACAAGCAUACAACAAUGUUUAAUUUUUUUUAAGAACCUUUAACUAAGAAACUAGCAUUGAAGCACAAAUUUUAGGUGUUUCUUAACAAAAGUUCUUAAGAUUA